rnacentral:rRNA from 1 species
CUAGUUGGUAGGGUAACGGCCUACCAAGGCGACGAUCCGUAGCUGGUCUGAGAGGACGACCAGCCACACUGGGACUGAGACACGGCCCAGACUCCUACGGGAGGCAGCAGUGGGGAAUAUUGGACAAUGGGGGCAACCCUGAUCCAGCGACGCCGCGUGUGUGAAGAAGGCCUGCGGGUUGUAAAGCACUUUUAGUGGGGAUGAAAAGCACAGGUCUAAUACAUCUGUGUCUUGACCUAACCCAAAGAAAAAGCACCGGCUAACUCUGUGCCAGCAGCCGCGGUAAUACAGAGGGUGCGAGCGUUAAUCGGAAUUACUGGGCGUAAAGCGUGCGUAGACGGUUAUUUAAGUCGGGUGUGAAAGCCCCGGGCUCAACCUGGGAAUUGCAUUCGAGACUGAAUAGCUAGGGUACGGUAGAGGGAAGCGGAAUUUCCGGUGUAGCGGUGAAAUGCGUAGAUAUCGGAAGGAACAUCAGUGGCGAAAGCGGCUUCCUGGACCAGUACCGACGUUCA